GACGAACGCUGGCGGCGUGCUUAACACAUGCAAGUCGAACGGUGAUCUUGAGAGCUUGCUCUUGGGUGAUCAGUGGCGAACGGGUGAGUAACACGUGAGUAACCUGCCCCUGACUCUGGAAUAACUUCGGGAAACCGAAGCUAAUACCGGAUAUGACACAGAAUCGCAUGGUUUCUGUGUGGAAAGUUUUUUCGGUUGGGGAUGGACUCGCGGCCUAUCAGCUUGUUGGUGAGGUAAUGGCUCACCAAGGCGACGACGGGUAGCCGGCCUGAGAGGGCGACCGGGCACACUGGGACUGAGACACGGCCCAGACUCCUACGGGAGGCAGCAGUAGGGAAUAUUGCACAAUGGGCGAAAGCCUGAUGCAGCGACGCCGCGUGAGGGAUGAAGGCCUUCGGGUUGUAAACCUCUUUCAGUAGGGAAGAAGCGCAAGUGACGGUACCUACAGAAGAAGCACCGGCUAACUACGUGCCAGCAGCCGCAGUAACAC
rnacentral:rRNA from 1 species